UUUGACCUCUAUAAAUUCACAUCCUUCAUAUAUGUAUCUAUUUGUAUAUCGUUUCCUCAACUCAAGAACCAUGUCUCGAGCCACCAUCGUCUUCCUCACCCUUAUGUUUCUCAUCUUCUCUUCAUUCAUGUCCGCCGAGGCCCGCCCGUUGACCACUCUUUCCGAUUCCACCACCACCGCCGCCACAAAAUCACUAAAUAAGGGUUUUGUUGAAGAAAGUUGCCAAGGGGUCGGGAAAGAGGAGUGUUUGAUGAGGAGGACGCUUGCUGAUGCUCAUCUUGACUAUAUUUACACCCAAGAUAAAAACCCUUAGAUAAUUUGUGUGACGGUUUAGAUAUCAUCAAGACGUUUGGUGUUUAUUUUCUUAUUACCCUUAUUAGCAUGUAGUUUGUGUACAUGAAAAAAACGAUAAAAGGGAAAUGAAUGAAUGCGUAUUAAUUUGAGUUAGUUUGCGUUUUUGAG